UUUAUGGAGAGUUUGAUCCUGGCUCAGGAUGAACGCUGGCGGCGUGCCUAAUACAUGCAAGUCGAGCGAACGGAUGAGAAGCUUGCUUCUCUGAUGUUAGCGGCGGACGGGUGAGUAACACGUGGAUAACCUACCUAUAAGACUGGGAUAAC
rnacentral:rRNA from 1 species